ACACAGGUGGGGAUUGCAUGUCCAGUGGGUGUGUGUCCACAGAUCUGCUCAGACCUUUCUACCUGUCAG
rnacentral:miRNA from 1 species